rnacentral:rRNA from 1 species
CCUGGCUUAGAUUGAACGCUGGCGGCGUGCUUAACACAUGCAAGUCGAACGCGAAAGGGACUUCGGUCCUGAGUAAAGUGGCGCACGGGUGAGUAACGCGUGGAUAAUCUGCCCUAUGAUCGGGAUAACAGUUGAAACGGCUGCUAAUACCGGAUACGCUCAAAAUGAACUUUUUGAGGAAAGAUGGCCUCUGCUUGCAUGCUAUCGCGUAAGGAUGAGUCCGCGUCCCAUUAGCUUGUUGGCGGGUAACGGCCACCAAGGCAACGAUGGGUAGCCGAUUUGAGAGGAUGAUCGGCCACACUGGAACUGAAACACGGUCCAGACUCCUACGGGAGGCAGCAGUGGGGAAUAUUGCGCAAUGGGCGAAAGCCUGACGCAGCGACGCCGCGUGAGGGAUGAAGGUUUUCGGAUCGUAAACCUCUGUCAGAAGGGAAGAAACUACAUUGUGCUAAUCAGCAGUGUACUGACGGUACCUUCAAAGGAAGCACCGGCUAACUCCGUGCCAGCCGCCGC